GCGGGCACAGAAUAAGGUACACAGAAGGCCGACUUCUUUGUUUUUCCUAUGAUUUUGCUAUGAUUUUGGCGUAACCCGUAAUUCGUCAUCAAAUGCUGACGCCAUGGUCCUAGCCAGUGCGCGUUUGAGAGGCAUUCACCACCCUGAUAUUAUUCAAAAUGGCAGAUGUCCAGGGGGGGAAUGCCUCUCAAACCCGCACUGCCUAUGACCAUGGCGUCAGCAUUUUGAUGAUGAAUCAUGGCGUGGCAGCGUUACUCGAGUCGACCUUCUGUGGCCAACCUCGUCCCCAGGGCCUUUUGAGGAAAGAUGCUAAGGGCAGCUUCGCCUCCUUCCUCAAUAGGCCCUGGGGACGAGGUUGCUGUGUACCUUAUUCUGUGGCGCGGGGGUGGUCGCGCCACUGAUCUAUAUAAAAACACUGUAGUGUGCCCAUUUUUAGCGCCUGGGUACGAGGCUGUGCUUGGCCUAUGAAAAACUUCCGUGUGCAUUCCAGGAUGGCGUGAUAUGAUGGCGUAUUUUCACGUCAGCACUCGUAGAAUUUCGGAAAAAUAUCGUCUGAGCAGUGAGCACUGCGUCUGAGUGACACUUCUGGUCCAGUAUCUAUUCUGUGGUGUAGUAUUCUGUGCCCAUGGCACAGAAUAAGGCACACAGAAGGGCCACUAAUUACGUCGGAAGCUUUGAAGUUUAUGUCACCCUGGCCGCCAUCUUCCUAGCCAGUCGAUUACAUUUUCUGGCCAAUAAACGCGCUGUAUUGGCUGAAGGCCCCGCCUUCUGGCCAGUCAACUGCAUGUUUUUGCAUAGAUUUGCUCCAAGUCUCUCUUUGUGGACAUCUAUAUAUUGUACAUCUAUAUUGUACGUUACAUACAAUUACUUGGAGCAAGUCUAGUUUUUGCAUCGUAGGAAGCUCAUUUUUAUUGGGGGCUGGGAACGAGGGCCGAAGGCCCGAGGAAAUUUUUAAAUUUAGAUUCUCUGAAAUGCCAUUUCCUGGACUUUGGAGAAGUUUUGACAGAAUUCUGAUGGUCAGAAAACGGAGUUUUAGUAUGAUAUUUGUGACGUUACUCUGAAUAUGCAUCCACAGCGGGCAAGCUGAAAAGUUUGCUUGGUCACGGUGGGAGUCGAACCCGCCACCUUUGGGAUACUAGCCCAAUGUUCUACCAACUGUAUGAGGUGUGGAUAUGGACAAAAAUGCAAUUGGAUCGGGACAAAAAUACAAUUGGAUCGGACAGUGUUUAAUUAAUGCGGGCUGAAAGCCAUUGGGUGUUAAACAAUUCAAUCGGGCUUUAAACAAUUCAAUCGGGCUUUAAACAAUCGGGCGUUAAACAAUUCAAUCGGGCGUUAAACAAUUCAAUCGGGCGUUAAACAAUUCAAUCGGGCGUUAAACAAUUCAAUCGGGCGUUAAACAAUUUAAUCGGGCUUUAAACAAUUAGAUCGGGCAUAAUCAGUCGGGCUUAAAGCCAUCGGGUGUUAAACAAUUAGAUCGGGCAUAAUCAGUCGGGCUUGAAGCCAUCGGGUGUUCAACAAUUAGAUCGGGCAUAAUCAGUUGGGCUUAAAGCCAUCGGGUGUUAAACAAUUAGAUCGGGCAUAAUCAGUCGGGAAACCAAUAUACCCGAACAAGUUACAGUCAAAAUACAAGAACCUUCCCGCUUCUGUAGUGUGUUGACAUUUUCUGUAAUUUGUUCUGUAUUACUGUGUAAAC
rnacentral:lncRNA from 1 species